CAACGAGUCGCGAAACCGCGAGGUCAAGCUAAUCUCUUAAAGCCGUUCUCAGUUCGGAUUGUAGGCUGCAACUCGCCUACAUGAAGUUGGAAUCGCUAGUAAUCGUGGAUCAGCAUGCCACGGUGAAUACGUUCCCGGGCCUUGUACACACCGCCCGUCACACCAUGAGAGUUUGUAACACCCAAAGCCGGUGAGGUAACCUUCGGGGACCAGCCGUCUAAGGUGGGACAGAUGAUUAGGGUGAAGUCGUAACAAGGUAACC
rnacentral:rRNA from 1 species